UGCCAGCAGCCGCGGUAAGACGGAGGGUGCAAACGUUGUUCGGAAUCACUGGGCAUAAAGCGCACGUAGGUGGCUUACUAAGUCAGGUGUGAAAUCCCUCGGCUCAACCGGGGAACUGCAUCUGAUACUGGUGGGCUAGAGGUCGGUAGGGGUGAGCGGAACUCCUGGUGGAGCGGUGAAAUGCGUAGAUAUCAGGAGGAACACCGGUGGCGAAAGCGGCUCACUGGACCGAAUCUGACACUGAGGUGCGAAAGCUAGGGGAGCGAACGGGAUUAGAUA
rnacentral:rRNA from 1 species